UGAAGAGCUUCUCAUCUGGUAAGAGGGAAGGUGGAGAUUUUGUUGCAGCCUGCAUGUCGCCAAAUGCAGAAUGGAUUUACUGUGUUGGUGAAGAUAGGAAUAUGUAUUGCUUCAGCCAUCAAUCUGGUAAACUGGAGCAUCUAAUGAAGGUUAGCAUCAAUAAGUAGAGGCAGUGCUUUUAUUUUCAAGAAAAGUUUAGGCAAGUAGGAUGUGACUGAAUUUAUGUCUUAUGUCAGCAUGACUAUACUUGGGUCAUAAGUCAUGACCACCAGAUCAAUAUGAUUUAACUUUUAAAUUAGAAUACACGGGAUUUCCCCUGUGACCGAUAUCAUUAUAAUUUCUCAAAUAAUAAUAGUUGUGUAAUGUACUGUCA